rnacentral:snRNA from 1 species
GGAUGGGAGGGCUAUCUGGCUGCGACAUCUGUCACCCCAUUGAUCACCAGGGUUGAUUCGGCUGAUCUGGCUGGCUAGUUAGGUGUCCCCUUCCUCCCUCACCGCUCCAUGUGCGUCCCUUGUCCCUCCCGAAGCUGUGCACUCACUUGAAGAGGACGGCCUUCAUCGAAUAGAGAUGGACCAGUCUUCAGUCAACUGAGGGUAUAAAAGUAGCUGUGCUCCCCUGCUAGAACCUCCAAACAAGCUCUCAAGGUCCAAAGGGAUCUGUGUAUACCUAUGGUCACAGCAACACAAUUCAAAAUAGCCCAAACUUGGGGAGCAACCUAGGUGU